rnacentral:rRNA from 1 species
CCCUUAGAUGUUCUGGGCCGCACGCGUGCUACACUGAGUGGAUCAGCGGGUCAGGUUGCGCGAAAGUGUUUCCUAAUCUUUAAAUCCGCUCGUGAUGGGGAUUGACGGUUGCAAUUUUCCGUCAUGAACGAGGAAUACCUUGUAAGCGCGGGUCAUCAUCCCGCGCUGAAUACGUCCCUGCCCUUUGUACACACCGCCCGUCGCUCCUACCGAUUGAGUGGUCCGGUGAGGCUUUGGGAUCUGAGCGGAAAGAGCGUUUCGCUGUUUCUGCCCGGAAAACUCAGUCGAACCUUAUCGUUUAGAGGAAGGAGAAGCCGUAACA